CCUACGGGUGGCAGCAGUCGAGAAUUAUUCACAAUGGGGGAAACCCUGAUGGUGCGACGCCGCGUGGGGGAAUGAAGGUCUUCGGAUUGUAAACCCCUGUCAUGUGGGAGCAAAUUAAAAAGAUAGUACCACAAGAGGAAGAGACGGCUAACUCUGUGCCAGCAGCCGCGGUAAUACAGAGGUCUCAAGCGUUGUUCGGAAUCACUGGGCGUAAAGCGUGCGUAGGCUGUUUCGUAAGUCGUGUGUGAAAGGCGCGGGCUCAACCCGCGGACGGCACAUGAUACUGCGAGACUAGAGUAAGGGAGGGGGAACCGGAAUUCGUGGUGUAGCAGUGAAAUGCGUAGAUAUCGAGAGGAACACUCGUGGCGAAGGCGGGUUCCUGGACAUUAACUGACGCUGAGGCACGAAGGCCAGGGGAGCGAAAGGGAUUAGAUACCCCAGUAGUC
rnacentral:rRNA from 1 species